CUGAGUCACAGGCAGAGAGAAGUGACUGAAGAUGUGUCUUAGGGGACUCCCAAGCCUUCCUCCCAGAAGGGGUGGUGCCUGGGAGGACCUGCAGAGGAGCUCCCGCAUCUCCUCAGGCCCUUUCUUCUGCGCCAUCUUGUGGCAGUUGAGAGCAGGCCCAGGGCAGAAGGGAGGCAGGGGCAUUAAGAGCUCAGGCCUCCAGCUGAGGGACUGCAGAUGUUGGACUCAUGGAGGCAACCACUCAAGGUCACUCUGAGAAGGGUUGAACGUGCUUUAUUAAAAGGACUGAGGAUCAUGUGUGUUGGUGUGUCCCGGAGUCUGCUCUAAGGCCCUGUGGCUGCCUGGUGCCCUGGGAAUGGUCCGGUCAUGGGCCUCAGCCCAGGAUGAGCAGCCAACAAUGCAAUCCCACGAAGAGUGUGCGGAAGGGAGAGGUUACUUCUCAAGAUGGAGCUGCCAAAUAGGGACACUUUGGAGAGUCUGGCCUGAGAACUUUUAGUUUCAAGAAUGUAUUGCUUUGGAAAAGACAGAAUAAAAGUCCAAGCACUGCCACUUAGAGGUUGUAUGUCCUUGGGAAAGUCACUGUACUUGGCAAUUAUAACCUUUACCCUGGAUACACCAUUCAUCUCCUGGGGCCAGGGGUUGUGCCACCUUGUUCAUUUCUAAACUAAAUGAUAUCUAAGCUAGUCUUUACCACAGUUUAAUUCUUACAAUAAUACUCCAAAGGAGAUAUAAUCAACCACAUUUCACAGAUGAGAGAGUUGGAAUCUUAAAAAGGUUAAACUCUUC
rnacentral:lncRNA from 1 species